UUGUAUCGACCAUCCCAAAUUAACGGUUCGUGCUCCAUUGGUUGUCCAUUUGGUCCCAUCGGCCUUUCAUAAAUUCUUGUCAACGCCAUGUUCAUGGGAUCGGGUUCGAACACCUUUAGAGCAUCAUAAUCAUACUCAUCCUCCACAAUCAUGUUAUGAAGGAUGAUGAAAGUCAUUAUAAUGCUUUGCAGUACCUCCUCAUCAAGCAUCCGAGCAGUACCCCUAAUAAUUGUCCAACGAGCAUGCAAGAUACCGAAACACCUUUCCACGUCUUUCCUAUAACCUUCUUGAUAGGCAACAAAGCUUUUUCCUUCUCAGAUUGGGGAUUCGGAAUUGUUUUCAAGAAUGUGGUCCACCAAGGAUAAAUUCCGUCGGCGAGGUAGUACACACCCGAAUAUACGGUAUUGUUGAUUCGGUACGUGAUCUAUGGGGAAUGACCUCGCAAUACAUCGUUGAACACCAGGGAUUGACCAAGCACAUUGAGGUCAUUCUGAGAUCCGGCAACUUUGAAGAAGGCAUGCCAAACCCAAGUGUCGAAUGAAGCUACGGCCUUCAGAAUUAUAUUUUCUUGGCCCCUUUGAUUCCCAUAAUCUCCUUGCCA
rnacentral:lncRNA from 1 species